rnacentral:rRNA from 1 species
GACAGAGGGUGCAAACGUUGUUCGGAAUUACUGGGCGUAAAGCGUGUGUAGGUGGCUGCGUAAGUCGGAUGUGAAAGCCCUGGGCUCAACUCAGGAAGUGCACUCGAUACUGCGUAGCUCGAGUACCGGAGAGGUUGGUAGAAUUCUCGGUGUAGAGGUGAAAUUCGUAGAUAUCGAGAGGAAUACCUGUGGCGAAGGCGGCCAACUGGACGAGUACUGACACUGAGACACGAAAGCGUGGGGGAGCAAACAGG